UGCUAAAGUUGGAAGAGUUGCGAACGGGUGAGUAACGCGUAGGUAACCUGCCUACUAGCGGGGGAUAACUAUUGGAAACGAUAGCUAAUACCGCAUAACAGCAUUUAACCCAUGUUAGAUGCUUGAAAGGAGCAAUUGCUUCACUAGUAGAUGGACCUGCGUUGUAUUAGCUAGUUGGUGAGGUAACGGCUCACCAAGGCGACGAUACAUAGCCGACCUGAGAGGGUGAUCGGCCACACUGGGACUGAGACACGGCCCAGACUCCUACGGGAGGCAGCAGUAGGGAAUCUUCGGCAAUGGGGGCAACCCUGACCGAGCAACGCCGCGUGAGUGAAGAAGGUUUUCGGAUCGUAAAGCUCUGUUGUAAGUCAAGAACGAGUGUGAGAGUGGAAAGUUCACACUGUGACGGUAGCUUACCAGAAAGGGACGGCUAACUACGUGCCAGCAGCCGCGGUAAUACGUAGGUCCCGAGCGUUGUCCGGAUUUAUUGGGCGUAAAGCGAGCGCAGGCGGUUUGAUAAGUCUGAAGUUAAAGGCUGUGGCUCAACCAUAGUUCGCUUUGGAAACUGUCAAACUUGAGUGCAGAAGGGGAGAGUGGAAUUCCAUGUGUAGCGGUGAAAUGCGUAGAUAUAUGGAGGAACACCGGUGGCGAAAGCGGCUCUC
rnacentral:rRNA from 1 species